AGUUUAUCGCGAGUGCGGGGGAGGGAAUUGGCCCUAGAAUCCCGCCGGCAACCAUUCUGAAUGACUCCUACGGUUUUGGAGAACCGUAAGAACUUCAAAAAAGAGGUGCCAAAUCCAAACCCUUAAGGGGAAAGAUGAAAU
rnacentral:ncRNA from 2 species